rnacentral:rRNA from 1 species
UACAGAGGGGGCAAGCGUUGUUCGGAAUUACUGGGCGUAAAGGGCGCGUAGGCGGCCUGCUAAGUCGAACGUGAAAUCCCCGGGCUCAACCGGGAACUGCGUCCGAUACUGGCAGGCUUGAAUCCGGGAGAGGGAUGUGGAAUUCCAGGUGUAGCGGUGAAAUGCGUAGAUAUCUGGAGGAACACCGGUGGCGAAGGCGGCAUCCUGGACCGGCAUUGACGCUGAGGCGCGAAAGCCAGGGGGAGCAAACGGG